CAGUCGAGCGAACAGACGAGGAGCUUGCUCCUCUGACGUUAGCGGCGGACGGGUGAGUAACACGUGGAUAACCUACCUAUAAGACUGGGAUAACUUCGGGAAACCGGAGCUAAUACCGGAUAACAUGUUGAACCGCAUGGUUCAACAGUGAAAGACGGUCUUGCUGUCACUUAUAGAUGGAUCCGCGCCGCAUUAGCUAGUUGGUAAGGUAACGGCUUACCAAGGCAACGAUGCGUAGCCGACCUGAGAGGGUGAUCGGCCACACUGGAACUGAGACACGGUCCAGACUCCUACGGGAGGCAGCAGUAGGGAAUCUUCCGCAAUGGGCGAAAGCCUGACGGAGCAACGCCGCGUGAGUGAAGAAGGUCUUCGGAUCGUAAAACUCUGUUAUUAGGGAAGAACAAAUGUGUAAGUAACUAUGCACGUCUUGACGGUACCUAAUCAGAAAGCCACGGCUAACUACGUGCCAGCAGCCGCGGUAAUACGUAGGUGGCAAGCGUUAUCCGGAAUUAUUGGGCGUAAGCGCGCGUAGGCGGUUUUUUAAGUCUGAUGUGAAAGCCCACGGCUCAACCGUGGAGGGUCAUUGGAAACUGGAAAACUUGAGUGCAGAAGAGGAAAGUGGAAUUCCAUGUGUAGCGGUGAAAUGCGCAGAGAUAUGGAGGACACCAGUGACGAAGGCGACUUUCUGGUCUGUAACUGACGCUGAUGUGCGAAAGCGUGGGGAUCAAACAUGCAUUAGAUACCCUGCUAGUCCACGCCGUAAACGAUGA
rnacentral:rRNA from 1 species